GUCUGAAUGUAGUGAAUUAUCCCAACUGAUUGUUCACAGUCAGUUACAGAUUGAACUCCUUGUUCUACUCUUUCCCCCCUUCUUACUACUGCACUUAAC
rnacentral:Y_RNA from 1 species